rnacentral:rRNA from 1 species
GACGAAUGCUGGCGGCACGCUUAACACAUGCAAGUCGAACGAGAGAAGAGGAGCUUGCUUUUCUGAUCUAGUGGCGGACGGGUGAGUAACACGUGAGCAAUCUGCCUUUCAGAGGGGGAUACCGAUUGGAAACGAUCGUUAAUACCGCAUAAUAUAAUUGAACCGCAUGAUUUGAUUAUCAAAGAUUUAUCGCUGAAAGAUGAGCUCGCGUCUGAUUAGCUAGUUGGUAAGGUAACGGCUUACCAAGGCGACGAUCAGUAGCCGGACUGAGAGGUUGAUCGGCCACAUUGGGACUGAGACACGGCCCAGACUCCUACGGGAGGCAGCAGUGGGGAAUAUUGCACAAUGGAGGAAACUCUGAUGCAGCGAUGCCGCGUGAGGGAAGAAGGUUUUAGGAUUGUAAACCUCUGUCUUCAGGGACGAAAAAAGACGGUACCUGAGGAGGAAGCUCCGGCUAACUACGUGCCAGCAGCCGCGGUAAUACGUAGGGAGCGAGCGUUGUCCGGAAUUACUGGGUGUAAAGGGAGCGUAGGCGGGAUCGCAAGUCAGAUGUGAAAACUAUGGGCUUAACCCAUAAACUGCAUUUGAAACUGUGGUUCUUGAGUGAAGUAGAGGUAAGCGGAAUUCCUAGUGUAGCGGUGAAAUGCGUAGAUAUUAGGAGGAACAUCAGUGGCGAAGGCGGCUUACUGGGCUUUAACUGACGCUGAGGCUCGAAAGCGUGGGGAGCAAACAGGAUUAGAUACCCUGGUAGUCCACGCCGUAAACGA